rnacentral:lncRNA from 1 species
UGAGUCUGAAAAAGUAGCAAUCACAGGAUGGAAGUAAGACCCCACAUAUAUGAGUCUCAGAAUUGUAAACAACGAUAGAAUUUUAAAGCUGAUUCCUUAUAGAGUGGUUCACAUCUGCUGAACUAAUGCAUAUGCAUUCUUUAUCUCCCUAGAGUGAUCUCUUUUGAGCUGUUAAAUAACUUUAAAUUUUACCUACCAGUUAUUUGAGAUAUUGAUUGGAAUAUAAAACUUUUUAAAAUAAGCUUUACCCAGCAGUUAUCUGUAGUGACUGAUUUAGAAAGAUUCCAUGUGUUCUUUGCCCUAAUGUGAAUGAAAGCUGGUCAUCUCAAAUACAUUUUAACUAUAACAGUGGUAGUCAUAUUUCCUUUUGAUAACCUGUACAACUAGAUAGAUUUUACCGUGUGUUGAGGUUAAAUAAUUAGCCUGUUUUCCUAUAUGAACUUCUUUAAUUGUCUCGUUUAUUUCUGCCAAAAGUAGUCAUCAUUCUUAGCUCUCUUCAGUGGCCAGCAGCUUAAAUCUAUUUUACUUGUAAGUUUAUUUCUGGCUGAUUGUUCUUUUGCUCUGUCUCUUCAUUUAAUAAAAUACUUUUUUAGCAGACAGUAGAGACAUUGUACCAUUAUUUUUCUUAUGUGAAGCAUCAUAAUGACCCUUCUUCAUUACGAAGUACGUACAAGUUGAUACAUAUCAGGGACUAAGGAUGUUUCAGGAGGAUGUACUGUGAAUUGCAGUGAGGAGCUU